ACUCAAAGGAAUAGACGGGGGCCCGCACAAGCAGUGGAGUAUGUGGUUUAAUUCGAUGCAACGCGAAGAACCUUACCCGGUCUUGACAUGGCAGUGACCGCUACAGAGAUGUGGCUUUCCUUCGGGACACUGCACACAGGUGGUGCAUGGUUGUCGUCAGCUCGUGUCGUGAGAUGUUGGGUUAAGUCCCGCAACGAGCGCAACCCCUAUCAUUAGUUGCUACAUUAAGUUGAGCACUCUAAAGAGACUGCCGUUGACAAAACGGAGGAAGGUGGGGAUGAGGUCAAAUCAUCAUGCCCUUUAUGACCGGGGCUACACACGUACUACAAUGGCAUUUAACAAUGAGGAGCGAAGGGGGGACCCGGAGCAAAUCUCCAAAAAGUGCCUCAGUUCGGAUUGCAGGCUGCAACCCGCCUGCAUGAAGUCGGAAUUGCUAGUAAUCGCGAAUCAGCAUGUCGCGGUGAAUACGUUCCCGGGCCUUGUACACACCGCCCGU
rnacentral:rRNA from 1 species